rnacentral:rRNA from 1 species
GGACGAACGCUGGCGGCGUGCCUAAUACAUGCAAGUAGAACGCUGAAGGAGGAGCUUGCUCUUCUGGAAGAGUUGCGAACGGGUGAGUAACGCGUAGGUAACCUGCCUGGUAGCGGGGGAUAACUAUUGGAAACGAUAGCUAAUACCGCAUAAUAUUGAAUAUCGCAUGAUAAUUGAUUAAAAGAUGCAAUUGCAUCACUACCAGAUGGACCUGCGUUGUAUUAGCUAGUAGGUGAGGUAACGGCUCACCUAGGCGACGAUACAUAGCCGACCUGAGAGGGUGAUCGGCCACACUGGGACUGAGACACGGCCCAGACUCCUACGGGAGGCAGCAGUAGGGAAUCUUCGGCAAUGGGGGCAACCCUGACCGAGCAACGCCGCGUGAGUGAAGAAGGUUUUCGGAUCGUAAAGCUCUGUUGUAAGAGAAGAACGAGUGUGAGAGUGGAAAGUUCACACUGUGACGGUAUCUUACCAGAAAGGGACGGCUAACUAC